rnacentral:rRNA from 1 species
AGCGAACGCUGGCGGCAGGCCUAACACAUGCAAGUCGAACGAACUCUUCGGAGUUAGUGGCGGACGGGUGAGUAACACGUGGGAACGUGCCUUUAGGUUCGGAAUAACUCAGGGAAACUUGUGCUAAUACCGAAUGUGCCCUUCGGGGGAAAGAUUUAUCGCCUUUAGAGCGGCCCGCGCCUGAUUAGCUAGUUGGUGAGGUAAAGGCUCACCAAGGCGACGAUCAGUAGCUGGUCUGAGAGGAUGAUCAGCCACAUUGAGACUGAGACACGGCCCAAACUCCUACGGGAGGCAGCAGUGGGGAAUCUUGCGCAAUGGGCGAAAGCCUGACGCAGCCAUGCCGCGUGAAUGAUGAAGGUCUUAGGAUUGUAAAAUUCUUUCACCGGGGACGAUAAUGACGGUACCCGGAGAAGAAGCCCCGGCUAACUUCGUGCCAGCAGCCGCAGUAA